rnacentral:rRNA from 1 species
AACGAACGCUGGCGGCAUGCCUAACACAUGCAAGUCGAACGCGUGGCUUCGGCCACGAGUGGCGCACGGGUGAGUAACGCGUGGGAACCUGCCCAUCGGUACGGAACAACCGCGGGAAACUGCGGCUGAUACCGUAUAUACCCUGCGGGGGAAAGAUUUAUCGCCGAUGGAGGGCCGCGUCGGAUUAGGUAGUUGGUGGGGUAACGGCCUACCAAGCCUGCGAUCCGUAGCUGGUCUGAGAGGAUGAUCAGCCACACUGGGACUGAGACACGGCCCAGACUCCUACGGGAGGCAGCAGUGGGGAAUAUUGGACAAUGGGGGCGAACCCUGAUCCAGCAAUGCCGCGUGAGUGAAGAAGGCCUUAGGGUUGUAAAGCUCUUUCGGCGGGGACGAUGAUGACGGUACCCGCAGAAGAAG